rnacentral:rRNA from 1 species
GACGAACGCUGGCGGCGUGCUUAACACAUGCAAGUCGAACGGAAAGGCCCUGCGUUUGUGGGGUGCUCGAGUGGCGAACGGGUGAGUAACACGUGAGUAACCUGCCCUUGACUUUGGGAUAACUUCAGGAAACUGGGGCUAAUACCGGAUAGGAGCUCCUGCUGCAUGGUGGGGGUUGGAAAGUGUCGGCGGUUGGGGAUGGACUCGCGGCUUAUCAGCUUGUUGGGGGGGUAGUGGCUUACCAAGGCUUUGACGGGUAGCCGGCCUGAGAGGGUGACCGGCCACAUUGGGACUGAGAUACGGCCCAGACUCCUACGGGAGGCAGCAGUGGGGAAUAUUGCACAAUGGGCGGAAGCCUGAUGCAGCAACGCCGCGUGCGGGAUGACGGCCUUCGGGUUGUAAACCGCUUUCGCCUGUGACGAAGCGUGAGUGACGGUAAUGGGUAAAGAAGCACCGGCUAACUACGUG